UACGGAGGAUGCGAGCGUUAUCCGGAUUUAUUGGGUUUAAAGGGUGCGUAGGUUGUUUUUUAAGUCAGCGGUGAAAGUUUGUGGCUCAACCCCGACAAGCCGUUGAAACUGGCUUGCUAGAGUGGGCGAGAAGUAUGCGGAAUGCGUGGUGUAGCGGUGAAAUGCAUAGAUAUCACGCAGAACUCCGAUUGCGAAGGCAGCAUACCGGCGCCCAACUGACGCUCAGGCACGAAAGCGUGGGUAUCGAACAGG
rnacentral:rRNA from 1 species